UGUAUUUUGGUUGUCCUCACGUUUUUACAAAUUAGAAUGGGCCUGUAGUCACAACCUGGGUCCCCGAGCUUCCUAGAGCGGCUGAGCAGGGAGCAGGCUCCAGGUCACACUUCUUACAGCGACAAUAGCUUUGGCUGUGUUGCGGGUUUGAGCUGGGACCGCUGGGCGUGGCCCCGAGGGCGGGGCCUGGCACCCCAAGGAGCUUUACGGAGGCGACCACUCAGGCUGUCUUUGGAGCUCUAGCCCCCUCCCUAGUACACCUCACUCCUCAACUCUUCUCCAUACCCCACCUCCAAUCCUUACCUUGUCCCCAGAGCACUUUCCUUCUCUUUCACACACGACCUUGACCCACCCCACUCACCACUUGUAUUUGCUGGUGCCUUUUAAGUUCAGCUUCUUUCUAGCAGUGUGUCUGCUUGUAACUUUCUUCUUCCUCCUUUGCUGGGUAAUGCCUACUCAGCCUCAGCCCUCAGCUCUCAGCCCUCAGUUACAACACUGCCUUUUCAUUUUUGUCUUUCCCUGAGCCCCCAGACCAGGUCAGUCCCUGCUCCCUCCCACCUCUGGACUUCUCCCAAAGUGAGGCCUCAGUUGUUUAUCUACUCUAGUGAAGUCUCACAGUGAAAAGAAGCAAAGGAAGAGAGAAGUAGUUUGUUUGAUGGCACAGCAGAGUGAAGGCAAGGCUACCUCAACACUGGAGGUCAAGGCCAGCAUGUUUGAAAGCAGAAGCUAAGAUGCCAUUGGAGAGGAGAAAGGUGGUGAGGGCAGUACAAUUGAAGAAGGAGACCCGGUUUAGAAAAAGCAACAAGAAAGAAAGGAAAGUAUGCCCACAGAGACAAAAGAAGCAGGCAUCACAGAGGAAAAAACCCUCCUGAAAAAGAAGCUGGGACCUAGGAGCUCCACGGAUUGUGCUCAUUGCAGUGUCUUGCUUGUUUUGUUUAAAUUGUAUCUUCAGAGGACAAGGUCUAAGAAAUAA